AUUGAACGCUGGCGGCAGGCCUAACACAUGCAAGUCGAGCGGAGCGGCUGACGGGUGAGUAAUGCCUAGGAAUCUGCCUGGUAGUGGGGGAUAACGUCCGGCAACGGGCGCUAAUACCGCAUACUAUCAGAUGAGCCUAGGUCGGAUUAGCUAGUUGGUGGGGUAAAGGCGUACAGAGGCGACGAUCCGUAACUGGGCUGAGAGGAUGAUCAGGCAAACUGGAACUGAGACACGGUCAAGACGCCUACGGUAGGCAGCAGUGGGGAAUAUGGGACAAUUGGAGAAAGCCUGAUCGAGCCAUGCCGCGUGGAUGAAGAAGGCCUUCGGGUUUUAAAGUACUAUCAGUGGGGAGGCGUUACCCGCAGAAGAAGCACCGGCUAACUCCGUGCCAGCAGCCGCGGUAAUUC
rnacentral:rRNA from 1 species